rnacentral:rRNA from 1 species
UACGGAGGGUGCGAGCGUUGUUCGGAAUUACUGGGCGUAAAGCGCGUGUAGGCGGUCUUGUAAGUCUGGUGUGAAAGCCCGGGGCUCACCCCCGGAAGUGCACUGGAAACUGCAGGACUCGAGUCUCGGAGAGGAGGGUGGAAUUCCUGGUGUAGCGGUGAAAUGCGUAGAUAUCAGGAGGAACACCGGUGGCGAAGGCGGCCCUCUGGACGAUGACUGACGCUGAGACGCGAAAGCGUGGGGAGCAAACAGG